rnacentral:rRNA from 1 species
GAUGAAUGCUGGCGGCGUGCCUAACACAUGCAAGUCGAGCGGUAACAGGAGUAGUUUACUACUUGCUGACGAGCGGCGGACGGCUGAGUAACGCGUGGGAACGUGCCCCAAAGUGAGGAAUAACUGCCCGAAAGGGUAGCUAAUACCGCAUAUGAUCUUCGGAUUAAAGGAUUUAUUCGCUUUGGGAGCGGCCCGCGUCGGAUUAGGUAGUUGGUGAGGUAAUGGCUCACCAAGCCCACGAUCCGUAGCUGGUCUGAGAGGAUGAUCAGCCAGACUUGAACUGAGACACGGUCCAGACUCCUACGGGAGGCAGCAGUGAGGAAUCUUCCACAAUGGGCAAAAGCCUGAUGGAGCAACGCUGCGUGAAGGAUGAAGGCCUUCGGGUCGUAAACUGCUUUUAUAAGUGAAGAAUAUGACGGUAGCUUGUGAAUAAGCACCGGCUAACUACGUGCCAGCCGCCGCCGUAACAC